rnacentral:vault_RNA from 1 species
GGGUCAGCUUUAGCUCUGGCGGUUACUUCGUAGCACUUGAGCAAUCCCUGUCCAGGAGUUCGAGACCCGCGGGCGCUCUCUGACCCUUUU